rnacentral:rRNA from 1 species
UGGGGAAUAUUGGACAAUGGGCGCAAGCCUGAUCCAGCCAUACCGCGUGGGUGAAGAAGGCCUUCGGGUUGUAAAGCCCUUUUGUUGGGAAAGAAAUCCAGCUGGCUAAUACCCGGUUGGGAUGACGGUACCCAAAGAAUAAGCACCGGCUAACUUCGUGCCAGCAGCCGCGGUAAUACGAAGGGUGCAAGCGUUACUCGGAAUUACUGGGCGUAAAGCGUGCGUAGGUGGUCGUUUAAGUCCGUUGUGAAAGCCCUGGGCUCAACCUGGGAACUGCAGUGGAUACUGGGCGACUAGAGUGUGGUAGAGGGUAGCGGAAUUCCUGGUGUAGCAGUGAAAUGCGUAGAGAUCAGGAGGAACAUCCAUGGCGAAGGCAGCUACCUGGACCAACACUGACACUGAGGCACGAAAGCGUGGGGAGCAAACAGGAUUAGAUACCCUGGUAGUCCACGCCCUAAACGAUGCGAACUGGAUGUUGGGUGCAAUUUGGCACGCAGUAUCGAAGCUAACGCGUUAAGUUCGCCGCCUGGGGAGUACGGUCGCAAGACUGAAACUCAAAGGAAUUGACGGGGUCAUAGC